AGUCCUGCCUGGGAUAGUCAUCUUCUUGAUACAGCGUGCUAUCCUUGGGAGGUUCCAGCUCUCAGAAGACUAGCGUGGAAAUGCUGUGGCCGAGUGUCUUCGUUGCAUUUAAUUUUCAGGGCUCCAUGCUGAGGAUUUUAUUUUCCUUUGCAAUGCUUAUGCUGCGGAGCCCUUUUCUCAGAGGUAGGCUGACGUUAGCACACUGAAGCAGCAAGCAGGUUCACUGGAGCAAGUUUAUUUGUAGUGUGGCCUGAGUCGCGUUUGAGGGUGCCAUUAUGAUUCAGAAGGCUCCACAAGGUUUGAAUAUCAAUGGUACAUCAAAGGACUGUAGCUGUGAAGUACCAGACGUUCUCCCUCACAGGCCCCAGAAUGGGGAGAGUGAGAGAUGGGUUCAAAGUUGGGAAAUGGGUAGGAUUUUUCCAAGGGCACUAACAGUCAAGUAGGCACCCCAGGUCUUUGUAAAUGUGGUGGAGUCUUUCUGGGAUGUGCACACUGUGAGGACGGUGAAGAUAAUACUUGCAGCAGCCAGACCAAUCUGCUUCCUUCACUGCACUGUAUGCCUCUUCAAUCCAGCAAAAAAUUGAGAAACAAGUGCGUUCACCUUUCCCCUACACAGAUUUCUUUUUCUCAGAAAAUUGAAAUGUUUAUCUUAAUUAUUUUUUUUAAUUAUUAUUUUUAUGUAUACUUCCAGAUUUUGGAAUUCUUUUUUUAAUCCACCCAACGCUCCUACUUACGCUUGGUCUUUCAAAGCAAAAUGUAAACUUAGUAAUUCCUGUUUUAAUUCUGGAAUUCAAUUAUGCUGAGUUAGAACUCCUUUAGUGGGAGUUAAGUGGGGAAGAGACCUACCUUAGUUCUUGCUGAUGCAGUAUUAAGUUACCUAAAAGAUGAGAAAAACUGACCGAAUGUAGAACUCCUUGGAAGGCUUUUCAGAGGUCCUUCUCUCAAAAGACUGCCUAGUUGGCUUACCUAGCUGGUAAGUCUGGUGGAUAUGAGAGAAGGGCAAUAUCUUCAAUUUAAAGAGGUAAAGCUGAUGUUAAGUGACUUGACCAAGGUCACAGAAGGAAAAAGUCGCAAGAACUGGAAACUGAUGGUGAGACAACCUGAUUUCAUGCUGUUGUAGAGAGCUAUGGCUUAAUAACAGGGACUUGGGUGGCUUUUAACUAAAUGAGCUCUGCUUAGGCAGCUUGUUUUGAUGUUAUUUCUGUCCUUUUGGAAUGUAUUUUAUCCCCUAACCUUUCUCCCUGAAAAUACAGUUUGUGUGAACAUGUAUAUUAAGUGUUAUGAGGAAAGAGAAAUUGCUGUGUAUCCAUAUGGAGAGACAUUGGCAAAACUACCUUAUUACUUGGAUUCCAACCAGAACUGGCUUUUUGAGUUUGCUCUGUGCUCUGAGGUGAGCAGAAUACUUUAACGUGCACUGCUACCCACUCCU
ensembl:lncRNA